UUUAAAGCGGAGAGUAUUCACAAAUGAACUGACUAAAUAGUUGAACUUUCUGAUAAAAGUGUACUGAAGCCCAAGUUUAGAUUCAGUCGUUUAGAUACCUAGGGUUUGGUUACUGUGAUCCAGGGUAAAGGCAUCGCAUUUAAAAACUCAGCCACCUUCCUAGCAGCUUCCUCUCCUCAGACUGCCUGGUGAAUAGAAGAGUUUCAGACUCACCCUCACCUGCAGUGUAGCAGGCUGGAAAAAGGCCCUCCUCAAUCCCAAAGCAUUCCCGAGAAUGCAUAUUGCUGUCCUGUUUUUCCUCACCUCCUCCCUACCAAAGGGAUAUCCUCACAGGAUAUUAUCAGCUCGUGCCUGAUAAGCAUCUGUGAUGCGUGAGCAGGGGAAGGAGCCUGCGUUUUAUUAUUAG